UACGUAGGGACCGAGCGUUGUCCGGAAUCAUUGGGCGUAAAGCGCGCGUAGGCGGCCCUGUAAGUCCGCUGUGAAAGUCAAAGGCUCAACCUUUGAAAGCCGGUGGAUACUGCAGGGCUAGAGUCCGGAAGAGGCGAGUGGAAUUCCUGGUGUAGCGGUGGAAUGCGCAGAUAUCAGGAGGAACACCAAUAGCGAAGGCAGCUCGCUGGGACGGUACUGACGCUAAGGCGCGAAAGCGUGGGGAGCGAACAGG
rnacentral:rRNA from 1 species